rnacentral:rRNA from 1 species
CGGCCGCGGGANNUCGAUUAGAGUUUGAUUCUGGCUCAGAUUGAACGCUGGCGGCAUGCCUUACACAUGCAAGUCGAACGGCAGCACGGGAGUAAUCCUGGUGGCGAGUGGCGAACGGGUGAGUAAUAUAUCGGAACGUGCCCAGUCGUGGGGGAUAACGCAGCGAAAGCUGUGCUAAUACCGCAUACGAUCUAUGGAUGAAAGCGGGGGAUCGCAAGACCUCGCGCGAUUGGAGCGGCCGAUAUCAGAUUAGCUAGUUGGUGGGGUAAAAGCCCACCAAGGCGACGAUCUGUAGCUGGUCUGAGAGGACGACCAGCCACACUGGAACUGAGACACGGUCCAGACUCCUACGGGAGGCAGCAGUGGGGAAUUUUGGACAAUGGGCGCAAGCCUGAUCCAGCAAUGCCGCGUGCAGGACGAAGGCCUUCGGGUUGUAAACUGCUUUUGUACGGAGCGAAACGGCUCUCUCUAAUACAGGGGGCUAAUGACGGUACCGUAAGAAUAAGCACCGGCUAACUACGUGCCAGCAGCCGCGGUAAUACGUAGGGUGCGAGCGUUAAUCGGAAUUACUGGGCGUAAAGCGUGCGCAGGCGGUUUUGUAAGACAGAUGUGAAAUCCCCGGGCUCAACCUGGGACCUGCAUUUGUGACUGCAAAGCUGGAGUGCGGCAGAGGGGGAUGGAAUU